rnacentral:rRNA from 1 species
ACGGGAGGCAGCAGUGGGGAAUAUUGCACAAUGGGGGAAACCCUGAUGCAGCGACGCCGCGUGAAGGAAGAAGUAUCUCGGUAUGUAAACUUCUAUCAGCAGGGAAGAUAAUGACGGUACCUGACUAAGAAGCCCCGGCUAACUACGUGCCAGCAGCCGCGGUAAUACGUAGGGGGCAAGCGUUAUCCGGAUUUACUGGGUGUAAAGGGAGCGUAGACGGCAUGGCAAGUCUGAUGUGAAAACCCGGGGCUCAACCCCGGGACUGCAUUGGAAACUGUCAGGCUAGAGUGCAGGAGAGGUAAGUGGAAUUCCUAGUGUAGCGGUGAAAUGCGUAGAUAUUAGGAGGAACACCAGUGGCGAAGGCGGCUUACUGGACUGUAACUGACGUUGAGGCUCGAAAGCGUGGGGAGCAAACAGGAUUAGAUACCCUGGUA